GGUACCAAACGCAUCCCAAAUACAUAUAUAAAUAAUAAUCGGGUGUUGCUAAAUCCUUUAUGCAACAAUGACCUUAUGUAUACAAAAUUCAACACCAACAUCUAUGAAUCAAGCUAACACCAGACUGAAUCUUCUAAGGCAAGAAACUUUGUAUCUUCAAUAUUCAACCGAUCAAAUUCUUACAAGAUAAAGCAGCUUAUUUUAUCCAGCAUAGUUAGGGAUGCAAACAAGUCAAGCUACUUGUGAGCUACUUGGGAUCGGAUCGCUAAAAGCUCGACUCGAAACCGAUUUUAGACAGCCCGAGCCGAGCUCGAGCUUAAUAUUAAGUUCGUUUAUUAAACGAGUUUGAGCUCGAGCCUAUGUCACUAAGCUCGAUUAGGCCCGCGAGCCUAAACGAGCCUUUAUAUAAUAUAAUUUCUUAUUUUUUUGUAUAUUAAAAUAAAAACAUAUUUGUGGAUUAGGAAUUUAAGGCAUUAGUAAACGAGUUUCUUAACGAGCUCGAGCCGAGCUUAAGCUUAUUUAGGCAAGUCGGAGAAAAAACGAGUCGAGCCCGAGCCCGAGUCGAGCUUCUAUAAUUGUUUACGAGCUCAAACCGAGUUCAGUACAAAAAGCUCGAAUCAAGCCGAGCUCGAGCUCGAGCCACUUAGAACUUAAACGAGCCCGAGCCAAGUCUGGCCAGGCUCGGGCUCGACUCGGCUCGUUUAAACCCCUAGGCAUAGUAGUGUAUCUUAAUUUUUAAAUGGGAGCCUUUUUUUCUUUCCAAAAAUGUCCUAAUCUUUUUUACCUCUUAUCAUUCUAUUCACGUAUACAACUCCCCAUUCACCAUCUUCUCUCAACGUACACACCCUCCACCUCCACCAUCUGAUCUCUUGUAUGGUCACUACCGAUGGUCGUCUUCACCUCUAGCUCUAUCAAAACUCGGCGACAAGAGCCAUUAAGUAAGGUUUUUUCUUGAAUUGAUUUUUUGAAAUCGAUUUUGUGUUAUGAUUUGGGACGACAUUUCCUUGAAGAAACCAAUGCUAUAACGUCUCAAAUUUUCAACCAAAUUUAAAAUCUUCUAAGUAUGAAUUAAACAACAAAAAAAACA